CAGGGCAGGGAGGCUCAACGGUUCAGGCCCAAAAUAACAUAAAAUAGGAGGCCGAAGCACGGAAAGGAGAAGGUGAUUGACCUGGAAGUAGAAUGGCAAGGUCAGCAUGCAUCCACCAUGGAUUUUAUGGCAUCCACACACCAGCAAGCAGGAUUUGUUUGUGCAAGACCAACAUGAUGCAUCCCUGUAUUUCCAGCCAAGCAGCCAGAUCUCAAAUUUAAAACCAUGGGGGAAACUAGGAGCCAAUUGAAUCAAGGGCCCUGCUGGAACUCUCUGAAUGCCUAGACUUCAUGUUUCCUCCUGCUCUGUUUGGGCUGUUGCUGUGGAUGUCUCACUGUCAUCACAGAUCUUCUGGGAGAGAUGCUGAGGCUGGAUUCAGGCCUGGAAUGUCCCGUCAGCCAUCUUGUCAGCAACAUUCACCUUUCCGGUCUCCUUCCUUUGUUCUCUUCAUGUUUACUUUAUGUCGCCUCUCUGCACCCCUCAAUCGCCAUUCUAUCUCUCAUUCACUCAUUCACCAUGCAUCACUCAUUCAUGGCCCUGCACUGUGAGGGCUACACUAUGAUGGCUGUAGAGCACUCCGUUGAAUUGCGUGAAAUGGUUAGAAUUGAAAAAGCGCAGUGUAAGAGGUAAAGCUCUCAUUUU